rnacentral:rRNA from 1 species
AUUGAACGCUGGCGGCAGGCCUAACACAUGCAAGUCGAACGAGUGGCGGACGGGUGAGUAAUGUAUGGGAAUCUGCCCGAUGGAGGGGGAUAACUACUGGAAACGGUAGCUAAUACCGCAUACUAUCGGAUGUACCCAGAUGGGAUUAGCUAGUUGGUGGGGUAACGGCUCACCAAGGCGACGAUCUCUAGCUGGUCUGAGAGGAUGAUCAGCCACACUGGGACUGAGACACGGUCCAGACUCCUACGGGAGGCAGCAGUGGGGAAUAUUGCACAAUGGGCGCAAGCCUGAUGCAGCCAUGCCGCGUGUAUGAAGAAGGCCUUCGGGUUGUAAAGUACUUUCAGCGGGGAGGCGUUACCCGCAGAAGAAGCACCGGCUAACUCCGUGCCAGCAGCCGCGGUAAUUC